UUUCCGUAGGUGAACCUGCGGAAGGAUCAUUAGUGAAUAUUAGGUUGCUCAGUUGCUUUAACCCGCUCAGAGUCCUGACCUCCACUUUCCACACGGUGCACCUUUCGGCGAAAUGGAAUCUUGAGCUUUGCUCUCGACGACGUUUUGCGGCUUCAUUAUAAAACACUAGUUUGAAAAUUUAAAAAAACCAUAACAAAAUAAAACUUUCAACAACGGAUCUCUUGGCUCUC
rnacentral:misc_RNA from 1 species